CCUACGGGAGGCAGCAGUGAGGAAUAUUGGUCAAUGGGCGGAAGCCUGAACCAGCCAAGUCGCGUGCGGGAUGACGGCCCUACGGGUCGUAAACCGCUUUUGCACGGGGAUAACACCCUCCACUUGUGGCGGUCUGCAGGUACCGUGCGAAUAAGGGCCGGCUAAUUCCGUUCCAGCAGCCGCGGUAAUACGGAAGGCCCGAGCGUUUUCCGGAUUCAUUGGGUUUAAAGGGGGCGUAGGCGGGCGUUCAAGUCAGCGGUAAAAUCGCGCGGCUCAACCGCGCCCCGCAGUUGAAACUGGACUCCUUGAGUGCACAACAGGCAGGCGGAAUGCGUGGUGUAGCGGUGAAAUGCAUAGAGAUCACGAAGAACCCCGAUUGCGAAGGCAGCAUGCCGGGGUGCGACUGACGCUGAAGCACGAAGGUGCGGGUAUCAAACAGGAUUAGAUACCCUAGUAGUC
rnacentral:rRNA from 1 species